UGGACACGUUCAGGAAGGAAAACGGCAUCUCAUUUCCCCGUUAACAGUUUAGUAGUGACAAAGCUCUUGAUGAAAAUUUGCCCAAGGAAGGGAAGAGGCAGACGCUGCCUUUCUUGGGGUCACAGGGGAGCAAACGUGUCCUCGCAGCCUGCCUCUUCCCAGUUGCGUAUUUUUAAGUUGCAUUUGUUGCAAGGGUUGGAAUACUCAGACUUUUCCUUGCCGCCUGAUUCCCCUUCAACAUGAGAGAUGGAGCAACUGGGGUUGGGUUCAGGGGAGUCGUGUGCACUGGCUUCCGUGAGGGCGGCCCCAGGACGUCAUGCUCUUCAGAGGCUGCUCCCAUCCACAGAACCGUGUUUGGUCUCCCAGAAGAAGGGGAGGAAGGUAUUUCCACCACUUUCUGGAUGAGGAAGCUGAGAGCCGGGGACGAAAGUCAUCUUCUCAUGUUCUUUGGACUCUGCACAGCGAAGUUCAUGACGGCCUUGGGCUUUCCCGUUUGGACCUCUGUCUUGUCUGAGCACUAAACAACACUGGGGAAAAGUCAUUUCACGAGGAAAAGGAAACAAAAGAGAGGAGCAAUAAGGACCGCUGCCUCCGACAACGGGACUCUCCUCCUCAGGCUUUCUUGAGUCCAAUCAAGGGGCAGG
rnacentral:lncRNA from 12 species